UUGAAAGGGAAACGAUUGAAGUCAGUCGUACCAGCGGGAAUCAACCUUUCGAGUGGGGNUUUGGAGUUUUGAAGAGUGUCAAAACCUUUGAGAUUUCAAAAUUUUCGCUCCUUUGGUGUACUUUCUCGUGGGUAGGUUAACAUCGAUUUCGAUCAUCAUAAAAGGAUUGGAGGAAUGUAGCUUCGAUCUUGUAUUGAAGUGUUAUAGCCUUUGGUAAAUGUGAUGAUUGGGAUCGAGGAUUGCAACGAAUACCCUUUUGGGCUAUCCGCCUGAUCUCUGAUACGUGGCCUUGGUAUCGAAAGCGUGCUUAUGGUAUUGAGGUAUUACGGUCAAAAGGUUAGAACGGAUUACAUUCGUUAAGGAUGUUGACGUA
rnacentral:rRNA from 1 species